AUUGAACGCUGGCGGCAGGCCUAACACAUGCAAGUCGAACGCAGUGGGGACGGGUGAGUAACACGUGGGUAACCUCCCAUCAGAGGGGAUAACACUUGGAAACAGGUGCUAAACAGAUACUGGUGGAUGGACCCGCGGUGCAUUAGCUGGUUGGUGAGGUAACGGCUCACCAGGGCCACGAUGCAUAGCCGACCGGAGGGGGUGAGCGGCCACACUGGGACUGUGACACGGCGCAGACUCCUACGGGAGUCAGCAGUAGGGAAUCGUCGGCAAGGGACGAAAGUCUGACCGAGCAAUGCCGCGUGAGUGAAGAAGGUUUUCGGAUCGUAAAACUCUGUUGUUAGAGAAGCGGUAGCUAACCAGAAAGCCACGGCUAACUGCGUGCCAGCCGCCGCGGUAAUAC
rnacentral:rRNA from 1 species